rnacentral:rRNA from 1 species
AUUUUGACUGUGCAAAGGUAGCAUAAUCAUUAGUCUUUUAAUUGAGGACUGGUAUGAAUGGUUUAACGAAGUAUUAACUGUCUCAUUUUAAUAAAUUGAAUUUAACUUUUGAGUCAAAAGGCUUAAAUGAAGUUAGAGGACGAGAAGACCCUAUAGAGCUUUAUAAAUUAAAUAUUAAGUUGGAUUUGGAAGUUUUGUUUAAUUUAAAUAGAAAAUUUAUUUUAUUGGGGUGAUAUAAAGAUUUAAUAAACUCUUUAUAAUAAUUAAACACUAAUAUGUGAAUAAUUGAUCCAUUUUUAGUGAUUAUAAGAUUAAGUUACCUUAGGGAUAACAGCGUAAUGUUUUUUGAGAGUUCUUAUCAACAAAAAAGAUUGCGCCCUCGAUGUUGGAUUAAGGAAAAAGUUGGG